GUCAAUCGCUGGCGGACCGCGGAAUACACCGGUUCUCGUCUGAUCACCGAAAUUAAGCAAGGUCGGGCGCGGUCAGUACUUAGAUGAGUGACCGCCUGGGAACACCGCGUGAUGUUGACU
rnacentral:rRNA from 1 species